GGUUGUCGUUUAUUGGGCAAAUUCUUGACACCGAAUGAAAGCAAUGGCGCAGUUCGCGAAUUAUCACUUUAUUUGGUUGUUAUUAUUCACAGCAUGGCUAUAGUAUUAUCAAUACUUAUUGUUUCUUUCAUUUGGAUUUUAAUAAUUGUUAGUGCAAGCGGACUCUCGAGAAUAUUUAACUGGUGUUUUCAAAAACUCGGACCAAUAUCAGAUAAUUUGCUAGCGCUAUUUGGGGCUUUUAUUAUUUCACUGGCAAUGAAGAAAUGUGGAGGACUGUCACUUGUCGUAACGUGCAUCUUAUAUUUAUUGUUGUAUGCGCUGACCCACAUCGCUCGUCACCCGAUCUUGCGUUUGUAAUAGCAAGCGUUAAGUGUGCCCCAUGUGGCGCCACACGUUAAGCCACAGUGCAAGCCAUUACGAGUGUUCUGCAUGUGUCAUCAAUCCACACUCGAUCGUCACAACAAAUACGCCGAUUCAGCAAUAUACAGGCAUGUUCUGCAAAUCGUUUCGGGUGAUAUUUUCGUAUUUUCCGUUUUCAAAUCGUUUGACAUGUCCUGUAAAUCGUUCCGUUUUCAUUUUUUCGAACAUGAGCAAAUCGUUUUGUCACCCUGUUCUGGAAAUCGAAAUCGUUAAAAUUUUCCCGUUUUAUAUUCGUCAACUUAAAUGAUAGCGGUUUGGAAGUCUAAUAAACGUUUUUUUGGAAUAAUAUUUUUAACAAUGGGAAAACACAAAAACUCCAAGCAAGAGCUAAUUUUAGUUCAAUUAAUGGAAUCUCAUCCAGAUCUGGCAAAGAAUUUUUCGAAGGGCGACAGAGUUGCCGUUGAAGAAAAGUGGAAGGAACUGACCACAUUGCUAAAUGCAGAAGGGCUUCCCCAGAAGGACGUUAA